rnacentral:rRNA from 1 species
GACAGAGGGGGCAAGCGUUGCUCGGAAUUACUGGGCGUAAAGGGCGUGUAGGCGGGAUGGCAAGUCGGUCGUGAAAUCCCUCGGCUCAACCGAGGAACGUCGAUCGAUACUGCUGUUCUUGAGGAUUGCAGAGGAGACUGGAAUUCCCGGUGUAGCGGUGAAAUGUGUAGAGAUCGGGAGGAACACCGGUGGCGAAGGCGGGUCUCUGGGCAAUUCCUGACGCUGAGGCGCGAAAGCCAGGGGAGCAAACGGG